rnacentral:rRNA from 1 species
UGGGGAAUCUUGGACAAUGGGGGCAACCCUGAUCCAGCCAUGCCGCGUGAGUGAUGAAGGCCCUAGGGUCGUAAAGCUCUUUCGCCUGUGAAGAUAAUGACGGUAGCAGGUAAAGAAACCCCGGCUAACUCCGUGCCAGCAGCCGCGGUAAUACGGAGGGGGUUAGCGUUGUUCGGAAUUACUGGGCGUAAAGCGCACGUAGGCGGAUCGGAAAGUUGGGGGUGAAAUCCCGGGGCUCAACCCCGGAACUGCCUCCAAAACUAUCGGUCUAGAGUUCGAGAGAGGUGAGUGGAAUUCCGAGUGUAGAGGUGAAAUUCGUAGAUAUUCGGAGGAACACCAGUGGCGAAGGCGGCUCACUGGCUCGAUACUGACGCUGAGGUGCGAAAGUGUGGGGAGCAAACAGGAUUAGAUACCCCCGUAGUCC